AUCCACAUUUCUACUUGAGCAGCAACAUGCAGCUCUUAGAACAGUCAUAAUCGUGUAGUAAGCACACAGUUCGAGGCAUCCACAGAGGAAAACAGCAGCAGAACACACCAGACGAGACAAGCAGAUCCCUGUCAGCACAUGGAUUCAUCUGGAGAACUACUUAUCUAGUCAUGAUGAAACUUGAAAAGUACCUUCUUUAGCACAGCUGUAAAGAAUAUCAGCAUCUGGGUGUAAAGGGAGGCAUCUCUCUCUGUCAACAGGCUCAGCAUCAGAUAUACCUUUUACACUGAUGUACCUUUGCAGUGUACUUUGACCGCCAGGAAGUACAUCAUAGCUGACUUCC